GGAAGGAUCAUUCGUGGUUUAAAAAAAAUGGCUAAGAGCGAGAGGGCCCAAAGGGGCGCGUGCUUUUUUGCGCAUGCCCCUUUCCUCUCGGCUCUUAUCCACCGCUGUGGCUGGCUUCCCUGCCGCAAGGCAACAGGCCAGCUAUCUGUGAACAAACAUACCUAACUUCAUAACCAUUUGAAACCUCAACAACUGUUGUGAACCGAAGUCGUGAAAUGCCAUGACGAAAAGAACACAACUCUUAGCAAUGGAUCUCUUGGUUCUCGCAUCGAUGAAGAACGCAGCGAAAUGCGAUACGUGAUGUGAAUUGCAGACUACGUGAAUCAUCGAAUCUUUGAACGCAUAUGGCACUCCUUGGCUUGCCAAGGAGUAUGUCUGUUUGAGGGUCAGUUUUCGAUCAACCACUCGCAAGAGUUCAAGGUUGGACGAUGGGUGUUCUCGAGCGAUCGAGAUCGCCUGAAAAGAAUGCAAGGACCGCCUCUCCGCCCCUGCCCUAAAAGCGCAGGGGUCGACUUGUGAGGGUGCAUUUUUUUUUGGUCAUGCGGCCCCGACCUCCGGGUGUCCGUUCAUGGCCAAGCAAAAAAAAAACCAGCACCUCUUGCUAACUUUGCGGUCUAGCCAGCCUGUUUCGAGCUCUGAUAAGAGAGACCCACCCCUCAAAAAGGUGCCUCUUUUUUUUUCUCAAUUCGUCACAGCUAAAGCGGGUUAGAUCUGCCGUGAGAAGCAUGUUUUCUUGGCGCUGGCUGCUUCGGAGCCACGCAAAAGCCUUCGGGCGCUUUCAUUCAAUGACCUCAAAUCAGGCAAGAGUACCCGCUGAACUUAAGCAUAUCAGUAAGCGGAGGAAAAGAAACUAACUAGGAUUCCCUCAGUAACGGCGAGUGAAGCGGGAAGAGCCCAGCAUGAAAAUCGGACAUCUUUGGUGUUCGAGUUGUAGGGUGAAGGAGCGAUUCCCUCAGGCCGGCCGCGUAUAAGUCCCAUGGAAAGGGGCAUCAGAGAGGGUGACAAUCCCGUUCAUGACGCGCGCUUGGUCUGGUUGUGGAGCGUUUCCAGAGAGUCAGGUUCCUUGGGAGUGGAGCCCAAAAUGGGUGGUAGAUCUCAUCUAAGGCUAAAUAUAGGCGAGAGACCGAUAGCGAACAAGUACCGUGAGGGAAAGAUGAAAAGCACUUUGAAAAGAGAGUUAAAAGGGCGUGAAAUUGCUAAGAGGUGAAGGAAUGGCUGCCUUGGGUACGCCGUACGGUUUUAGUCGUGGCUGUGGAGGGGCAUCGUACGUCAGAGAGCGCAAGCCUCGCGUGCGGGUCGGCGAAGCAGCUGCGGUGAUCACCGUGCGGUGUGGGUCAGCAUCGGUUUUUCCGGUGGCAGACGCACAGCAGGAAGAUGGCUCGUGGAAUUCUUCGGAAGUCUGCUUGCUUUAUAGACUGCUGAUAACGCGGGUCGGCCGGGAAGACCGAGGCCUACAAAGGCUUGGCUGCGGAUCGUGGCAGGGCCUCUUAGGGCUGCAUUAGCAACUGUUAAGCCGGUGGCGUCGACCAGAACGGAAAACAGCGUUGAUGCAGCUCUGGGGAGAGCUGGUUACGUGAAGCGUGCCAAGGGAUGCUGGCGCAUGGGUAGCGAUUCACCCGUCUUGAAACACGGACCAAGGAGUCUUAUACGUGUGCGAGUUGUAUGGUGGAAAACCAAUGCAAGCGUAAUGAAAGUAAGAGGUGGGAUUCGUCGCAAGGCGAUGCACCAUCGACCGGUCUAGAGCCCUCUGUGGUAAAGGUACCGAGUUGGAGCACACUUAUAGGGACCCGAAAGAUGGUGAACUAUGCCUGAGCAGGGUGAAGCCAGAGGAAACUCUGGUGGAGGCUCGUCGCGGUGCUAACGUGCAAAUUGCUCGUCGGACUUGGGUAUAGGGGCGAAAGACUAAUCGAACCAUCUAGUAGCUGGUUCCCUC
rnacentral:misc_RNA from 1 species